AUACUGAAGGAGUUUUUCAGAGAACGGCGGAACAAAUGACGAUAUAGUUUUGAGAGCCACCGGCUCAGGUCGGGUCCUGUGCGACGGGAACUCCUGAACCGUGUCAGGUCCUGACGGAAGCAGCACUAAGGGAACCUUUCCGUGUGCCGCAGGGGUGCCUGACCUGAGCCGAUGGCUUUCGGUAU
rnacentral:SRP_RNA from 1 species